UACGAAGGGGGCUAGCGUUGCUCGGAAUCACUGGGCGUAAAGCGCACGUAGGCGGACUCUUAAGUCGGUGGUGAAAUCCUGGAGCUCAACUCCAGAACUGCCUUCGAUACUGAGAGUCUCGAGUCCGAGAGAGGUGAGUGGAACUGCGAGUGUAGAGGUGAAAUUCGUAGAUAUUCGCAAGAACACCAGUGGCGAAGGCGGCUCACUGGCUCGGUACUGACGCUGAGGUGCGAAAGCUAGGGGAGCAAACGGG
rnacentral:rRNA from 1 species